rnacentral:rRNA from 1 species
CUACACAUGCAGUCGAGCGGAGAGAGGUAGCUUGCUACUGAUCUUAGCGGCGGACGGGUGAGUAAUGCUUAGGAAUCUGCCUAUUAGUGGGGGACAACAUUUCGAAAGGAAUGCUAAUACCGCAUACGUCCUACGGGAGAAAGCAGGGGAUCUUCGGACCUUGCGCUAAUAGAUGAGCCUAAGUCGGAUUAGCUAGUUGGUGGGGUAAAGGCCUACCAAGGCGACGAUCUGUAGCGGGUCUGAGAGGAUGAUCCGCCACACUGGGACUGAGACACGGCCCAGACUCCUACGGGAGGCAGCAGUGGGGAAUAUUGGACAAUGGGCGCAAGCCUGAUCCAGCCAUGCCGCGUGUGUGAAGAAGGCCUUAUGGUUGUAAAGCACUUUAAGCGAGGAGGAGGCUACUCUAGUUAAUACCUAGAGAUAGUGGACGUUACUCGCAGAAUAAGCACCGGCUAACUCUGUGCCAGCAGCCGCGGUAAUACAGAGGGUGCAAGCGUUAAUCGGAUUUACUGGGCGUAAAGCGCGCGUAGGCGGCUAAUUAAGUCAAAUGUGAAAUCCCCGAGCUUAACUUGGGAAUUGCAUUCGAUACUGGUUAGCUAGAGUGUGGGAGAGGAUGGUAGAAUUCCAGGUGUAGCGGUGAAAUGCGUAGAGAUCUGGAGGAAUACCGAUGGCGAAGGCAGCCAUCUGGCCUAACACUGACGCUGAGGUGCGAAAGCAUGGGGAGCAAACAGGAUUAGAUACCU